UCCUGGUGCGAGUCAGGUCCUUGGUGCGCGGGUAGUAGGAUGACAUUUCCCCUCUCUUCUGUGGACCGGCAGGUCAACGUCUACUGUAACAUUCACCGAGGCCAACAACAGAGCACCAAGGUUUUCCACAUACCUCUCCGUCCCAGCAGUGUCGUCGAGUUGUUGCAAAGGUCAGCGGCGCUUCAUCUUCAACAGGGUUCUGAUUUUCAUCUCUCCACCGUCCCUCACCAGCUGCACAAAUACAGCCCAGUUUGUGGCAGAAGGGAAGGGCUUCCACUUCAAUAUCUCUCUCACUCACUCUCUCACACACACACACACAUAAAUAAAAAAUGCUUUCCCUACCUAUGAAGGAGUUGUUGCAGUGAAACAGGCCACGGGAUCCAGCAAUACAGGAAUAUGAAAUGUCUGGUAUCGGAGACUCGGCGAGGGAUUCUAACCUGGGUUCAAUGUUCCCCUGCUGUACAAGCAUAAGAGGACAAAUACACAACUUGUAGAUAAAUCACAAACACAUCCUCCAAAUCAAAUACAGAUCAACCACUGCUGCAGAGGCCGGUAUACCCAGUCUGCAUGAAUUCCCCCUACUAACCUCGUCCAUUUUGCUCAAUUUGGGGCUGAUCUCCAUUGUUUCCGUGGUCUCUGUCGAGCCGAUUUUGACUCUUCUGUCAUCGGUCAAGCCUUUCUUUAGACAGCUCCUUUCAGCCAGAGUGCCUCCUUCCUCCAUCUGUUUGUCUUGAGGAGAAAGGCUGUUGGUCUUCUGAGCCUCUUUCAGGUCAGUCAGAGUCACUCCCUGCAGGACAUUUAUACAGCUUCAUAAUAUAAUAUACAGUCAAAACUCAAUCCAAUAAAACCUGAACUUCUGUCAGCCUUUUGAUCUUUACCUGUGUUGACCUGCGGGUCUGUCUGGCAUGACGACACUUCGCUUUCCUCUGAGACUCUGCUUCCUCAUCCCUGACUGGGGUCAGAUAGGACCUGGGUGAGUGGAGAAACAAAAAUGGUAACCAUAAGGAUUUAAGUAAUAACUCUUCAAAAAAGCACUGUGAAUCAAAAGGAGAAACAAUAACGGGUAACAAAUUACAUCAAUUUGACCUGAAUAAUGAAAAUCAACAGUCAAAAUGUUUGUGCAUGUG